AACGCUAGCUACAGGCUUAACACAUGCAAGUCGAGGGGCAGCAUGGUCUUAGCUUGCUAAGGCCGAUGGCGACCGGCGCACGGGUGAGUAACGCGUAUCCAACCUGCCUUACACUCUUGGACAGCCUUCUGAAAGGGAGAUUAAUACAAGAUGUUAUCAUGAGUAAGCAUUUUCGCAUGAUUAAAGGUUUACCGGUGUAAGAUGGGGAUGCGUUCCAUUAGAUAGUAGGCGGGGUAACGGCCCACCUAGUCUUCGAUGGAUAGGGGUUCUGAGAGGAAGGUCCCCCACAUUGGAACUGAGACACGGUCCAAACUCCUACGGGAGGCAGCAGUGAGGAAUAUUGGUCAAUGGACGAGAGUCUGAACCAGCCAAGUAGCGUGAAGGAUGAAGGUUCUAUGGAUUGUAAACUUCUUUUAUACGGGAAUAAACGAAUCCACGCGUGGAUUUUUGCAUGUACCGUAUGAAUAAGGAUCGGCUAACUCCGUGCCAGCAGCCGCGGUAAUACGGAGGAUCCGAGCGUUAUCCGGAUUUAUUGGGUUUAAAGGGAGCGUAGAUGGGUUGUUAAGUCAGUUGUGAAAGUUCGCGGCUCAACCGUAAAAUUGCAAUUGAUACUGGCAGUCUUGAGUACAGUUGAGGUAGGCGGAAUUCGUGGUGUAGCGGUGAAAUGCUUAGAUAUCACGAAGAACUCCGAUUG
rnacentral:rRNA from 1 species